rnacentral:rRNA from 1 species
CCUACGGGUGGCAGCAGUGGGGAAUAUUGCGCAAUGGGCGAAAGCCUGACGCAGCGACGCCGCGUGAGGGAUGAAGGUACAGAGUAUCGUAAACCUCUUUUGUCAGGGAACAAAGGCGGGGACGUGUCCCCGGAUGAGUGUACCUGAAGAAAAAGCAUCGGCUAACUCCGUGCCAGCAGCCGCGGUAAUACGGAGGAUGCGAGCGUUAUCCGGCUUUAUUGGGUUUAAAGGGUGCGUAGGCGGUCUGGUAAGUGAGCGGUAAAAGCCCGGGGCUCAACCCCGGCCCGCCGUUGAAACUGGCAGUCUCGAGUUGGAGAGAAGUAUGCGGAAUGCGCGGUGUAGCGGUGAAAUGCAUAGAUAUCGCGCAGAACUCCGAUUGCGAAGGCAGUAUGCCGGCUCCACACUGACGCUGAGGCACGAAAGCGUGGGUAUCGAACAGGAUUAGAUACCCUUGUAGUC